rnacentral:rRNA from 1 species
AACGAACGCUGGCGGCAUGCCUAACACAUGCAAGUCGAACGAGACCUUCGGGUCUAGUGGCGCACGGGUGCGUAACGCGUGGGAACCUGCCCUUAGGUUCGGAAUAACUCCCCGAAAGGGGUGCUAAUACCGGAUAAUGUCUUCGGACCAAAGAUUUAUCGCCUUUGGAUGGGCCCGCGUUGGAUUAGCUAGUUGGUAGGGUAAAAGCCUACCAAGGCGACGAUCCAUAGCUGGUCUGAGAGGAUGAUCAGCCACACUGGGACUGAGACACGGCCCAGACCCCGAGGGGAGGCAGCGGUGGGGAAUAUGGAAGAAGGGGGAAAGGCGUGACACAUCAUUGCCGCGGGGGUAAGAAGGCCUUUGGGGUUGAAAAGCUUUUUUCCCCGGGAUGAAAAGGACAGUACGGGGAAAAAAAGCCCCGGCUAACCCCGUG